rnacentral:lncRNA from 1 species
UGGCCCCAGGAACAAGGGAGUAAUUUUGAGGGCUGCAAUUUGUACUGAGAAUUAACUGGCAACAGACUGAAUAACUGCGGAGAAAACUUUAAGGACUUUAUCCUGUUUUUUCAAGACAAACAAAUCCCUGAAAGAAGCCAAGAAGAGUGUUGUUUCAGUGAGACUCACAGGGUUGGGCCUUCAGUGAAAUUUCCCUGUGAAGGACAGAUGUGGAUUUGUUUGAAAACACCUAUCCAAGCCUUCACACUGACAUCAGUGCGUAACUUGCAGGCUGAUGGAGCCCCUGCCAUGGACACCUAUGAAGAGAUUUGGAAGUAGUAUAGAAAUGACCAGAGAAGGAGGGGAAGAAAGAAGAGGACAGAAUUCAGACCCGCCUCCUCAGGGAGCAUAGCGGACC